UCCCUGGUGGCUCAGACGGUAAAGUGUCUGUCUGCAAUGCAGGAGACCUGGGUUCGAUCCCUGGGCCUGGAAA
rnacentral:tRNA from 1 species